rnacentral:tRNA from 1 species
GCGCCCGUGGCUCAACGGACAGAGUGCUGGAUUCCGGAUCCAGAGAUGAAGGUUCGAUUCCUUCCGGGCGUA